CUGGGGGCCCGGGCGGCAGAGCCCCUCCUGCCAAUGGGGGCGCAGUCACGCCGGGGCCGCCCGGCCGCGAACGCCCGCGGGGAGCGGGAGAGGGUUUGCUCUGGCUACGGAGCUGGGAGCAGGGUGCUGGUGACGGGGCUCCCAGCACCUACUCAGUACCCUUCACCCAACCCCUGCCUCGGGCGUGGACUCCCGGCGGAGGCUCUGGGAGCCGGGCUGAGGGCUUGAGCCUAGCGUAUCUGGGAGAACUGGAGAGAGGAGUCUCAGAUGGCUAAAGUCAGGGGCGCCAGUUGGAGAGCCGGUGGCUCCUCCGAUACUCACACGCCCGGAUUUAACCAGUUCAGGAGGGCCCAGAACCUAGACCUCCACCAGUCAUGGUGGGCUGUGUCGCCCACCUCCCCAGGGCAACCCAGAUCCAGCCCCCAACCUACCCCGGUCCCAUUCCUGUGUGGGCACCCGGACCCUACCCUUGCCCCACAGAGUGGCCCGCAGCCCCUGGCGGGGAGAGCAAGGGCUGUGAUUGGGGCCCAACAGAAACAGGAUAUUCAGAAGGGGCUUUCUCUCCUGAGGGACCACAUCUCCAAGCUUCAGACUUCCAGACAAGUCCCAGGGCACGAAUGUGACCCAUUACGAACAGGCAGUGAAGCUGUGGCAGGGCUGGAGCUGCCCCAGGCUCUGGCAUCAUCCCCGAGGGCUGGAGCUCACUCCCCACUACAGGCUUUUCCGGACCCCACGUCCACAGGCAGGUGCAUCUGAUGAAGCUGUCGGCCACACCCAGGACAAAUCCCUACAGCCUUCUGAGAAGCUCUGGCAGUAACCUGGGGCUGUCAGACAGAGGACUGGUAUUCUUUCCUCCAUCUCGCCAAUGAAGAAACUGAGGCCCAGGGAAAAGAAGUAAUUUGCCCAAGGUCGAACACCUGGUAAAUGACAGUGCAUGGACUAAACCCAGGAACCCAGCACAGAAACAGCUUCCUCCAGGAAGCCUUCCCCGGCCCACCUGAACAACCAUUUCCUCCUCUGGGCUAUUGAGCAACCUGUGUAUCCUUCCAUCACACCAACACUGUGCUGAUUUUUGUCGGUGCAAGAAUCUGUCCCCCGCCCUUCACCAACAGACCGGGAGCCUCGAGGGCCCGUACCCUUUCUGAUUCAUCUCCACGAGCCAGUACAGAGGAGGUGCUCAAAGAAUGUUUGUUGAUUGAAUGAGUAAAUGACAUUUAGCAGGUGCUCAGGAAAUGUACAUUGAUUUGCAUCAUGUGUCUGUUGCUCUGAAUGACUCAGAACCAGAUUCGUCUCCUGGUUCCUCUGGAAAAGGCAUUUUCUUCCUGAUUGACUCCACCCUCCAUAAGCUUCCACCUGCCGUUUGCCUCUACCCUUUGAUUAGCCUUCCCCGCAGGUCACCACCCACGGUGGGGAGAAGGCACCUCCUCUCUGCUCUUGCUGUUGCCAAGCUGAGGACUGGUUGGGGCCCCCGUUCCCUCCCCCAGCCUGAGCCUGCCUUUGCUCAGAACGCUUCGUCUCUGCCUCUCUCUCCUGCUCAGAACAGAUGGCUCUGAGUCCCCACUAACACAGAAGUUCCUGUUCUGCCAUUUGAACAUUUUUAACACUUUCUACAUUACAGAAGCUUCAGUCUCUUUUCAUCAUGGAUGCAGACUAUCAGAAAUAAAGACUCCACCGAAGGGCAUCGACUCCAGCCUCUUCCCCAUCCCAUGGAGAGGCUGCACCUCAGAGAUGGCCAGUGGCCUGCCCGAGAUAUUGUAGUGGAUGCUACCUUUGUUUUUGUUUUCUGUCAUCUUGUUUUCUUUCUUCUUCUUCUUUUUUUUUUUUUUCCAAGAAGGAGUUUCACUCUUGUUGCCCGGGCUGGAGCACGAUUUCGGCUCACUGCAACCUCCGCCUCCCGGGUUCAAGUGAUUCUCCUGCUUCAGCCUCCUGAGUAGCUGGGAUUACAGGUUGGAGUGCAGUGGUGCCAUCUCCCUUCACGACGAACUCCACCCCCCAUCCCCAGGAUCAAGCGAUCCUCCCACCUCAGCCUCCCAGAGCUGGGACCACAGACGCGUGCCACCACGCCCAGGUACAGCGCAGUCAGCAGGAAGCAGCCACCCCCCAGGGCGAUGACAAAGGCGCAGCACAGGAAGCUCUGCUGCAGGCUGAGGAAGCGCU